GUGUGCGUGUGUGUGCGGAGCAGAGACGCAAGGAACAGAUUGGCGGGGGAAGCGGACUCCUGCGCCUGAGGAAUACUGCGGCGUCGAGGAUCCGAGCGCCGCCCACGUCCCACCCUGGGCCGCCGGUUACCCGCUGCAGCACAUGGAGCCCGGCCAGCCCGCGGCCCCCCGCGCCAUCUGUCUCCCGGGACUGACGACUUCACCCUCCGUCUCUCCUCCUCCUCCUCCUCUUUCGACAAGAAAAAAAUAAAAAUAUCGGGCCCUACGGUGGCACCAAAGUGUGCACGAGGAGGAGGACGGCGGGAAUAUUGGCGGGAUGAUUCACGUGGGUGAAGAGCCCAACGCGAGGCCCGCCAAGAUGGAGGCGAUGUGAGCGACAGUUGCCGAUUGGAAGCUGCCAACUGGAGCGUGAAAGCGGCGGGCAGGCCUCGGAUCACCUGCUCCCAAAUCCAAUCUGACAGGUAGCGGUGGGACGUCAACGGAGCGCUCGCCGAAGGGGCGUGGCGUGGAUCGGGAAGGCUAAACACCACCGGAUGGUCCCGCCAAGCCCAUCUUGAAAAGGCCGUCGUCGUAUUGUUUCAAUAAAAAGAUAACUGCGCACAUUUAUGACACGAGCGCAAAGCUCGCGCUUAAUGAGCGGGAGCCAUGGUAAGCUCGUUAGGGCCGGCCGUGUUGCCUUUGAAAUAAAAGCGCUGUGGUGAGAGCCGUUUGGCGACAUCCAAAUCCUUCAACGAUUUAUCAAGCAAAAUUACAGAAAAUUUGACUUUGCCAUAAAACUUCUAAAGGUCACUGUGUGGAUUAAUUUGGCUCCUGACAUUUUUUCUUUCAAACUAAAAGGAACAAAACAAGUCAGAGUCUUCCUGGCAAACAAACAGUGGUGGUGACCCUCCCAUCUAUUUUUAGCGGGACGGGAAGGCCUUCGCCUCCACAGCGGGUCAUCAAAGAUUAAAGGCGCCGUCAGCACCAAUUAAAGUGACAAAAUCAUGUCGGUUUUCUGUUGACGGACAGCACCAAUGCUUUUGUAGACUCGUACAAUUUUGGAAGUUACAUGAUCGUCGGCCAUCUUUAGAUUCAAAAGGCAAAGUCUGCAGCAUUUUCAGUUUUAAUCCUUUGGUGAAUUUGAUUUUUUUCAUGAUCCAAUCCGUCAUUCUAAAUUGAUAAUUCAUUUCUUUGAAAAUGUUCCUUUUCACUGAAAAUGUUGCUAUAUUGUGCAGCGCAAUCCAAAUCUCGCUUUCAGUAGCGGCUCAGUGCUUCCGGACAUGUUGUGGCACAAUGUGGUAUUACGCUACCCCCUGCAAAAAAAGAUCAAAAUUGCAAUAUA